rnacentral:rRNA from 1 species
UACGUAGGGUCCGAGCGUUGUCCGGAAUUAUUGGGCGUAAAGGGCUCGUAGGCGGUUUGUCGCGUCGGGAGUGAAAACCUACAGCUUAACUGUGGGCUUGCUUUCGAUACGGGCAGACUUGAGGCAUGCAGGGGAGAACGGAAUUCCUGGUGUAGCGGUGAAAUGCGCAGAUAUCAGGAAGAACACCUAUGGCGAAGGCAGCUCUCUGGGACGGUACUGACGCUGAGACGCGAAAGCGUGGGGAGCGAACAGG